UGGGGAAUUUUGGACAAUGGGGGCAACCCUGAUCCAGCAAUGCCGCGUGAGUGAAGAAGGCCUUCGGGUUGUAAAGCUCUUUUGUCAGGGAAGAAACAGCAGCUCUAACACAGUCUGCGAAUGACGGUACCUGAAGAAUAAGCACCGGCUAACUACGUGCCAGCAGCCGCGGUAAUACGUAGGGUGCGAGCGUUAAUCGGAGUUACUGGGCGUAAAGCGUGCGCAGGCGGUUAUACAAGACAGGCGUGAAAUCCCCGGGCUCAACCUGGGACCUGCAUUUGUGACUGUAUAGCUAGAGUGCGGCAGAGGGGGAUGGAAUUCCGCGUGUAGCAGUGAAAUGCGUAGAUAUUCGGAAGAACACCAGUGGCGAAGGCGGCUAACUGGCCCAUUACUGACGCUGAGGCUCGAAAGCGUGGGGAGCAAACAGG
rnacentral:rRNA from 1 species